UACCCCCUGAAUUUAAGCAUAUUACUAAGUGGUGGAAAAGAAACUAACAAGGAUUUCCUUAGUAAUGGCGAAUGAAGAGGAAAAAGCUCAAAUUUGGAAUCGUUUAUUUUGAUAAACGAAUUGUAAUUUGAAGAUAAUUAUGUAAAAGUCAAUAUAUUAUUGAAAAUAGUGUUGGAAAGCAUUGACGUGAAAGGGUGAUAGUCCCAUUUAAUAGUGAUAGAAACUUAGUUAGUUAUCAAAGAGUCGGGUUGUUUGGAAUUGCAACCUUAAAAUGGUGGUAGACUCCAUCUAAAGCUAAAUAAAAGCAUGAGAUCGAUAGUGAACAAGUACCGUGAGGGAAAGAUGAAAUAGAACUCUNNNGGAGAGAGUUAA
rnacentral:rRNA from 1 species